ACGGGAGGCAGCAGUAGGGAAUUUUCGGCAAUGGACGGAAGUCUGACCGAGCAACGCCGCGUGAACGAAGGAAUACUUCGGUAUGUAAAGUUCUUUUAUAGGGGACGAAAAGACAGAUUGACUGUACCCUAUGAAUAAGCUCCGGCUAACUACGUGCCAGCAGCCGCGGUAAUACGUAGGGAGCGAGCGUUAUCCGGAUUUAUUGGGCGUAAAGGGUGCGUAGAUGGCACAUUAAGUUUCUUGUUAAAAUGCUUGGCUCAACCAAGUAGUGCAAGAGAUACUGAUGAGCUAGAGUAUGGAAGAGGCAAGUGGAACUCCAUGUGUAGCGGUAAAAUGCGUAAAUAUAUGGAAGAACACCAGUGGCGAAGGCGGCUUGCUGGUCCAAUACUGACAUUGAGGCACGAAAGCGUGGGGAGCAAACAGGAUUAGAUACCCUGGUA
rnacentral:rRNA from 1 species